GCAUCCGUAGCUCAGCUGGAUAGAGUACUCGGCUACGAACCGAGCGGUAGGAGGUUCGAAUCCUCCCGGAUGCACCA
rnacentral:tRNA from 10 species